UGGGGAAUCCCGAAACAUCGAGUUGGAUUCGAGUUCGAGUUCGAGUUAAACUUCGAGUUACUUAUACACUGGCGUUUCCGAAUGUUCUGCUAAUUUCCGAACAACUCCGAUUCAUGUUUACUUCUUCGCAACUUCAAACACGUGUUAUUACGUUUAUAAAUGUAUGGAGAAUGAAACGUAGCAAUGUAAAUUUACUUUAUUAUAAAUCGUUUUUAUAAUGCAUUUUGUUGUACAUCUUAUACAGUAAUUACUAUGUGUAUUUUGGAAAAGAAUAUAUUAAAAUUUGUAUAUUUUAAGUAUUGUUUCGUUCAAAAUAUGUAUUCGAAACUAUCAGUACUAUUCUGCAUAUCCUCACACGUAGUAUUAGGGAUUAUCCUUAAUUGUCAAAUUUUCUAAAGAUUAAGGAUAUGACUU